AUGACUGAGGAGCUGUGGGGCAGCUGGAGGGGCCAGACUGCAGUCAGCUGCAUCAUGGUACGAGUGUGUCCUGAUGUGGCCAAGGUGAUGAGAUACUCGAGGCUCCACCAUCCCCUAGACAGCAACCAGAGAGUGUCCCACCCUCCGCUCCUCACCCCAUAUCUGGGUGUCACCACCCUCAGGUCUCCUCCCCACCUUUGCAGCCACCAUCUCAUCAUGUCCCUGUUGCUUCUUACCUCAGUCUACAAGGCCAGCAUCACCCUAACACCAAAACCAGACAAAGACAUCACGAGAAAGCAAAACUGUAGAUCAGUCUCACUCAUGAUCAUAGAUGCAAAUAUCAUAAACAAAAUAUUAGCAAAUCAAACCCAACAAUGCCUUUUAAAAAAUUUAUACCACAACCAAGUGAAAUUUAUUCUAGGUUGGACAUCUGAAAAUCAACUAAUGUAAUCUAUCAUAUAAAGUCUAAAGAUGAAAAAUCAUCUGAUUAUACCACUAGAUGGAAAAAAAGAGCAUUUGACAAAAUCCAAUAACCAUUCAAAUUUUGUUCUACAAAUGCUCAGCAAACUAGGAAUGGAAGAGAACCUCCUCAACUUGAUAAACAACAUCUGCAAAAAAAGUCAUGUUUUACUGUGAAACCUAAAUACCCUCCACCCUGAGACUGGAAAAAGGCAAAAAUGUGCCACCUCAGCAAUUCUAAUCAGUGUCGUAUGGGAAGUCCCAGCUAGUGUAAUAAGACAAGAAAAGGAAAUAAAAGGAUAUCAACUGAAAAGAAAGAAACAAAAUUCUUUUCCAAAUAAAAUUUAGAAAAGCAAGUUUAAAGAUGUAUGUAACUAAUAAUUACAGCAAGGUUGCAGGAUACAAGGUUAAUAUAUAAUAUCCAUUGCUUUUAUAUAUGCCUAUAUAACAGCAAUAAGCAAUCAGAAUGUGAAACUGAAAACAAUACCAUUUACAUAAACAUGAACAACUGAAAUACUCAGGUAUAAAUCUAACAUGAUGUGUACAAGACCUAUAUGAGAGGAAACUAGAAAACUCUGAUGAAUAAAAUCAAAGAAAAUCGAAAUAAAUGGAGAGAUAGUCUAUGUUCAUGGAUAAAAGACUCAAGUUGUUAAGAUGCCAGUUCUUCUCAGUCUUAUUUAUAAAUUCUGUGUAGUUCUAAUCAGAACUCUAGCAAGUUAAUUUGUAGAUAUCAACAAACUGGUUCUGCGGUUCAGCAUCACCACAGCAAAGGCAGCAAAGGGGGAGGAUUGACACUAGCCAACUUCAGGGUGUGUUAUAAGGCUUCGGAAAUCAAGACGGUGUGGAUUUUGGUAAAGAGGAGACAAGUAGAUCGAUGGAACAGAAAUACAGAACCUAGAAGCAGACCCACACGAAUGUAGUCACCUGCUCUUUGACGCAGGGGCAAAGGAAACACAGUGAAGUAAAGACAGUCUCUUCACAGACGGCCCUGGAACAAUAGGGGAUCCACAUACAAAAAGGAAAAGAAAGAAUCUAGACAGUGGCUUUACACAUUCCAACCAAAAAGUUAAUUCAGAAUAGAUCUCAGAACUAAAUUUAAAAUGCAAAACUAUGAAACUUCCAGAUGGUAACAAGAGAAAAUCAAGGUGACCUUGGGUUUGGUGGUAACUUUCUAAGAUACAUCAAGCCAUGAAAUAAAGCCAUGAAAUAAAAAAUUGAUACGUCAAACAUUAUGAAAAAUAAAUAUUUCUUCCCUGCAAAAUACACAGCCAAGAGAGGGGAAAAGACAAGCUACAGGCUAGAAAAUGUUUUCAAAAGAUAUCUGACGAAGGGCUUGUAUCCAAAAUAUACAAACUUCAACAAUAAGAAAACAACUCAGUUUUAAAAUGUGCAAGAAAAAAAAAAUGUGCAAGAGAUCUGAAUGACACCCCACCAAAGAUGUUAUGUAGAAGGCAAAUAAGCAUGUGAAAAGAUGCUUAUUAAGGACUAUCAAUUAAAGCAACCAGGAGAUACCACUAAACACUCAGCAGAAUGUCUAAAAUCCAAAACAUUGCCAAUGUGGUGUGACCACCACCCCACAUGCAGGCAGGAGGGGCUGGGGAGGGAGGCAGUUCCCAGAGAGGCCAGCCCAGGGCCCCGCUCCCUGGUCCCCAGACCACACUCCCCAGGGAGGGGAAUCUCUAAAGUGUCUCCCACUCCCAGACUUUGUGACAGCAAAGGCGUGGCUCUCAGCAUGCCUUUAGGCUUUCAAAUACCACCUAAUUCCCAAACCUGAGAAGGCGCCUAGGAUGGCGCCUCCAGGACGCGCAGUCCUCCCCAGGGACUCACGGCCCUUGGGAUAAAAGCAGCCAAGGGCUUCGCCUGGCCCCUCCCCUCCUCUGCCCAGGAACGGCCUCAGGGCCUGGGAGCAUCUGGAGGCUGGCUCAGAUCGGGCCUUCAUAGGCAAGGACCUCUGCCUUCCCCCAGGCGGGAAGAUAGAGGCAGCAGUCCACGCCUGACCUGCACCAGGAGGGCCGGAGCCCACGGCCCUGAGCACAGAAAUCCUCCACGACUGGCUGAGAAUGAGGGCCAAAGGGCAGGGAUGGGGCAGAGGGCGGGGCUGUGGGCUGGAGACGAGGAGGGCAGGAGCAGAACGGAUCUCGCAGGGAAGGGUGCCAAUCUAACUUGGGGUGUUCCGAACUUAUCCCAUCAGCUUAACAAACAUGGGAACCGAUUACAUUACAGUUCAGUCGCUCAGUCGUGUCCGACUCUUUGCAACCCCAAGAAUCGCAGCACACUUUAAUUCAUUAUUUGUAAAAUAACUUCACAAAGCACAAAGACUACAGAAGCAUCAUUACCCACAGAUGACAGACAAAUGUGUCCUUCUGCUCUGGCCUCCAGGGAAGGGGCCUCCAGGAACCCUGACUUCUCUUCUGCAGUGAGAGAGGUUCUUCAGCUGGGCAGACGCCACCCACUCCUGCAGGGACCCUCCUGCUGUGGGCCUGGGUCACAGCAAGGAGAAGCCAUCGGAGCCCUCCCCCCCACCACCUGCACUUCCUUCUAGGGGGAGACCAGAUGGUGAACAAGUAAAGAGGGGCAGGGGCACCGAUUGGCACCCUCAGGUGAGGUGAGUGGCCAGGAGCAGUUUUAAGUGGGUGGAGGGUCUUCAAUGAGCUCCAGAGGUCAUGCUCCAGCAGAGGCUGAGGGGUCAGAAGACCCACCAGAAAGCCCAGGCCCGGUGCGCUCCAGCUGCGGGGGCUCCAGCACCCCCAGAGGCCCCCGAGCACACCAGCAGCACCAGGCAGGCCUGGGGUGCCCUGCACAGUGGCCCUGGGCCCAUGCCCAUCCCUGAGGGACAGCUGUGCAGCCCUUGGCCCUGGGCAGCUCAGGGCUGGGGCUCCCUCACUCUCCACCCAGCUGGCAGGAAUCCAGCCCUCUCGGGGGCCCUGAGGCUGGAUGACCAGGGUGGACACUGGUGGAGGGCACCAGUGCAUCAUGUGUGUGUGUGUGUGAGUGUGUGUGUAAGUGUGUGUGUGUGAGAGAGUGUGUGUGUGUCUGUGUGUGAGUUUGAGUGUGUGAGAGUAUGUGUGUGUGAGUGUGUGUUGUCACUUCAGUUGUGUCCAACUCUGUGACCCCAUGGGCUGCAGCCCACCAGGCUCCUCUGCCCAUAGGAUUUCCCAGGCAUGAAUACUGGAGUGGGUUGCCAUUUUCUUCUGCAGGGGAUCUUCCCAACCCAGGGAUCUAACCCGCGUCUCUUACGUCUCCCACAUUGCCAGCCAGGUCCUUUACCACUAGAGCCACCUGGGGAGCCCAGUCCAUCACGCUGCCUGAAUGAAAAGAAACAAUAGCCUCCCUGUCAGGCCCUAUUUUCAGCACUGGAGACACACCAACUCCUUUAGUACUCAAAGGGCUCCAUGGGAUCACACUCUCACAAUCCCCACAUAGUGAUGAAGACACAGAGGUUCAGAGUGGCCACAUGACCUGCAUAAGUCACGCUGACAGACAGUUGCAUCCAGACUCCCAGCUUCAGAGUCAGCUUUAAUUCCACGCAUGCUCCCAGGAUACAUCCUGAUGAGCUGCCAGGCCAGACCAGGCCCCUCACUGAGCCUCUGGGCCCCGGAGGAUCUUGUGCAGCUUAUCCACUCAGAGGCCUCACCAAGCCCCCUCCGUCUGAGGCCCGCAGUUUCCACCACCUGGCCCCCAGGAGGGUGUGAGACCUGGUGGUGCGCUCUGAGGCUCCCCAAAGUGAGGCACACCCGCACACUGACCCAAACAGCCCCUACAGGCUGCCAGGCUUCCGCAGAGAUUUGCACCCUGUUUCUCUGGGUUCUCCCCUUCCUGGACAACCUCCCCAGCCUCCACUGAGGGACAGCUCACCGGCUGCAGGCAUUAGCAGCAGAGAGAAAUCCAAAGUGCGAGACAGCCCGCUCCUUCCUGACAAGGGCCGUCAGCCCCAAGGCCCAGACCAAGCAGGGGCUCAAGCCCCAGAGGAGCUCCUGAGGCCGGGGUGGGCGCUGCCUCCCUGGCCUGCCCAAGGGCCCUACACACGGUGAGAUCGGGGUGCCAUUUCCAGGGCAGAGAGGCCCCAGGGCCUCAUGUCCGCCACACCCCCUUCCGCAGAGCCUCCUUGACAUCCUCGUUCCUCAAGGUGUAGAUGAAGGGGUUCAGCACUGGGGUGACGGUGGUGCUGAGCACGGUGACAGCCUUGGUCAGGUCCAGCGAGCUCUCCACCAAGGUCCUCACGUGCAGGAAGACAGUUGGGCCAUACCAGAUGAGGACCACCGCGAGGUGGGAGGAGCAGGCGGAGAAGGCCCGGGGCCGGCCCUGCAGCGAGGGCGUCCUGACGACGGCGACCACGAUGUGGGCGUAGGAGACCAGCGUGAUGACGCCCAGCGUGAUGACAUGACAGACCAGCGUGAUGACGCCCAGAG
ensembl:lncRNA